CCUACGGGUGGCAGCAGUGGGGAAUAUUGGACAAUGGGCGAAAGCCUGAUCCAGCCAUGCCGCGUGUGUGAAGAAGGCCUUCGGGUUGUAAAGCACUUUCAGUGGGGAAGAAAGCCUUGGGGCUAAUACCCUCGAGGAAGGACAUCACCCACAGAAGAAGCACCGGCUAACUCCGUGCCAGCAGCCGCGGUAAUACGGAGGGUGCGAGCGUUAAUCGGAAUUACUGGGCGUAAAGCGCGCGUAGGCGGUCUGAUAAGCCGGUUGUGAAAGCCCCGGGCUCAACCUGGGAACGGCAUCCGGAACUGUCAGGCUAGAGUGCAGGAGAGGAAGGUAGAAUUCCCGGUGUAGCGGUGAAAUGCGUAGAGAUCGGGAGGAAUACCAGUGGCGAAGGCGGCCUUCUGGACUGACACUGACGCUGAGGUGCGAAAGCGUGGGUAGCAAACAGGAUUAGAUACCCGUGUAGC
rnacentral:rRNA from 1 species